CGCUGUCCGAGUCAUUACACACUUAACUGGUUUGGGGGUUUCGUGAGUGCGAGAGGUGGAGAGGUAAGCGCCGCGGCCUCCUUUUCCGGACCUGCCCUUCGUCUUGUCCACUGUUCCUCCUGACCCCGGGCCCUUGUCUCCCUCAGAUCCGUAACGUCGGUGCGUUUCCUUGCUUGGGCCUGUGCCUGGAUUGCUUGUGACGCCCUGCCUGCCUGCUGACCGACAGCGAACGCAAGAUGAAGCUCUCUCUGGUGGCUGCGGUGCUGCUG
rnacentral:other from 1 species